UGCUGGAGGUAUCAGAAGUGCGAAUGCUGACAUAAGUAACGAUAAAGCGGGUGAAAAGCCCGCUCGCCGGAAGACCAAGGGUUCCUGUCCAACGUUAAUCGGGGCAGGGUGAGUCGACCCCUAAGGCGAGGCCGAAAGGCGUAGUCGAUGGGAAACGGGUUAAUAUUCCCGUACUUGGUGUUACUGCGAAGGGGGGACGGAGAAGGCUAUGUUGGCCGGGCGACGGUUGUCCCGGUUUAAGCGUGUAGGUGUGUGUUCCAGGUAAAUCCGGUUCACUUUAACACUGAGGCGUGAUGACGAGGCACUACGGUGCUGAAGCAACAAAUGCCCUGCUUCCAGGAAAAGCCUCUAAGCAUCAGGUAACAUCAAAUCGUACCCCAAACCGACACAGGUGGUCAGGUAGAGAAUACCAAGGCGCUUGAGAGAACUCGGGUGAAGGAACUAGGCAAAAUGGUGCCGUAACUUCGGGAGAAGGCACGCUGACAC
rnacentral:rRNA from 1 species